ACGAACGCUGGCGGCGUGCUUAACACAUGCAAGUGGAGCGACGAACCGGGGCUUGCCCCGGGGCAGAGCCGCGAACGGGUGAGUAACACGUGGGUUACCUGCCCCAAUGACCGGGACAACCCGAGGAAACUCGGGCUAAUACCGGAUGUGGUCUUCGGACGAAAGGAAGCUUCGGCCUCCGCAUUGGGAUGGGCCCGCGGCGCAUUAGCUUGUUGGUGGGGUAACGGCCUACCAAGGCGACGAUGCGUAGCUGGUCUGAGAGGACGAUCAGCCACACUGGGACUGAGACACGGCCCAGACUCCUACGGGAGGCAGCAGUGGGGAAUCUUGCGCAAUGCGCGAAAGCGUGACGCAGCAACGCCGCGUGGGGGAAGAAGGCCUUCGGGUUGUAAACCUCUUUCAGUUGGGACGAAGGUCGCGCCUUUAAUAGCGGUGGCGAUUGACGGUACCUUCAGAAGAAGCCCCGGCUAACUACG
rnacentral:rRNA from 1 species